UACAGGGGGUGCAAACGUUUGCUCGGAAUUAUUGGGCGUAAAGCGCGCGUAGGCGGCUACUUAAGUCGGAUGUGAAAGCCCUUGGCUCAACUGAGGAAGUGCACCCGAAACUGAGUGGCUUGAGUACAAAAGAGGGUCGCGGAAUUCCCGGUGUAGAGGUGAAAUUCGUAGAUAUCGGGAGGAACACCGGUGGCGAAGGCGGCGACCUGGGUUGAUACUGACGCUGAGGCGCGAAAGCGUGGGGAGCAAACAGG
rnacentral:rRNA from 1 species